rnacentral:rRNA from 1 species
CCAAUAGCGUAUAUUAAAGUUGUUGCAGUUAAAAAGCUCGUAGUUGAAUUUCGGGGUUAGUAGGUCGGUCAUGCCACUGGUAUGUACUGGUCUCACUGAUUCCUCCUUCCUGAUGAACCGUAAUGCCAUUAAUUUGGUGUUGCGGGGCGACUGGACUGUUACUUUGAAAAAAUUAGAGUGUUUAAAGCAGGCUAACGCUUGAAUACAUUAGCAUGGAAUAAUGAAAUAGGACGUUCGAUCCUAUUUUGUUGGUUUCUAGGAUUGACGUAAUGAUUAAUAGGGAUAGUUGGGGGCAUUAGUAUUCAAUUGUCAGAGGUGAAAUUCUUGGAUUUAUUGAAGACUAACUACUGCGAAAGCAUUUGCCAAGGAUGUUUUCAUUAAUCAAGAACGAAAGUUAGGGGAUCGAAGACGAUCAGAUACCGUCGUAGUCUUAACCAUAAACUAUGCCGACUAGGGAUCGGAUGAUGUUAAUUUUUUAAUGACUCAUUCGGCACCUUACG